GAUGAACGCUGGCGGCGUGCCUAAUACAUGCAAGUCGAGCGAACGGACGAGAAGCUUGCUUCUCUGAUGUUAGCGGCGGACGGGUGAGUAACACGUGGAUAACCUACCUAUAAGACUGGGAUAACUUCGGGAAACCGGAGCUAAUACCGGAUGAUAUUUUGAACCGCAUGGUUCAAAAGUGAAAGACGGUCUUGCUGUCACUUAUAGAUGGAUCCGCGCUGCAUUAGCUAGUUGGUAAGGUAACGGCUUACCAAGGCAACGAUGCAUAGCCGACCUGAGAGGGUGAUCGGCCCCACUGGAACUGAGACACGGUCCAGACGCCUACGGGAGGCAGCAGUAGGGAAUCUGCCGCAAUGGGCGAAAGCCUGACGGAGCAACGCCGCGUGAGUGAUGAAGGUCUUCGGAUCGUAAAACUCUGUUAUUAGGGAAGAACAUAUGUGUAAGUAACUGUGCACAUCUUGACGGUACCUAAUCAGAAAGCCACGGCUAACUACGUG
rnacentral:rRNA from 1 species